rnacentral:tRNA from 1 species
GGUUCGGUAGCUCAGUGGUAGAGCGAGAGAUUGCAGAUCUCUAGGUCACGUGUUCGAACCACGUUCGGACCU